GCGGAGAGCUGCGCUCGGGUCAGCGUGUCUGGUGCUUCCUGCGUCCGGGGGGCACCAGGUCGCCGACGGGGAGGUCCCGAGCCAGUGGCGCCUCCAGGGGGUGCACGUGCACCCGUGUGCACCCCCUGCGUAUUUGGGGUCAGACUGGUUUCCCUCGCUUUAUGUGGUAGAUGCAUUCCUGAAAAACUGUGCAUAACUCAAAUUCGCAUAAAGGCAACCCACUUUACAAGGUAACAAAUAAGGAUAUGUUCCAAGACCUCGACUGCAUCGACAGCAGGAACAUGUAUUUCCUGCAUAGAUGUCUUUUUCUUGACCUCUCCUUCCUUCUGUGCAGUCUGAGAAGUGGCAAAAUUCCUACGGAAAUGGAGAAAGGGUUUAGAUAAAUGUUAAGUUAUUGUGAAUUACAUAAGAAAAAUGGUUUGUUGUUUUUUUUAAUAUAUUUUGUUGCAUGUUUUCUUGUAAAAGAAAUGUUUGAGUACUCAACAAUAGUAUUAUUUCUAUUAAUGACUGUGGCUGGGUGGCAGAGAGUUUAUUAGUGAACAUAAAAUAAUCAUAGAAUCACACAGUUUAUAAUAAUUGCUUUUAAAUUAAAUUAAUAAUUAAAAAUGAAUAAAAUUAAUAAAAACAAAUAAGAGUAAUUAAAUAAUAACUGCUUUUAAA